AUUGAACGCUGGCGGCAGGCCUAACACAUGCAAGUCGAGCGGAUGAAGGGAGCUUGCUCCUGGAUUCAGCGGCGGACGGGUGAGUAAUGCCUAGGAAUCUGCCUGGUAGUGGGGGAUAACGUCCGGAAACGGGCGCUAAUACCGCAUACGUCCUGAGGGAGAAAGUGGGGGAUCUUCGGACCUCACGCUAUCAGAUGAGCCUAGGUCGGAUUAGCUAGUUGGUGGGGUAAAGGCCUACCAAGGCGACGAUCCGUAACUGGUCUGAGAGGAUGAUCAGUCACACGGGAACAGAGACACGGCCCGGCCUCCUCCGGGAGGAGGCAGGGGGGAAUUUGGGACAAGGGGCGAAGCCUUGACCCAGCCAGGCGGGGGGGGGAAAGAAGUUUUUCGGAUUUAAAGCCACUUUAAGUGGGAAGAAAGGGUAGUAAGUUAAUACCUUCUUUUUUUGACUUAACCAAAAAAAAAAGCCCCGGCUACUUUCGUG
rnacentral:rRNA from 1 species